rnacentral:rRNA from 1 species
AUUGAACGCUGGCGGCAUGCCUUACACAUGCAAGUCGAACGGCAGCACGGGAGCAAUCCUGGUGGCGAGUGGCGAACGGGUGAGUAAUACAUCGGAACGUGCCCAAUCGUGGGGGAUAACGCAGCGAAAGCUGUGCUAAUACCGCAUACGAUCUACGGAUGAAAGCAGGGGAUCGCAAGACCUUGCGCGAAUGGAGCGGCCGAUGGCAGAUUAGGUAGUUGGUGAGGUAAAGGCUCACCAAGCCGUCGAUCUGUAGCUGGUCUGAGAGGACGACCAGCCACACUGGGACUGAGACACGGCCCAGACUCCUACGGGAGGCAGCAGUGGGGAAUUUUAGACAAUGGGCGAAAGCCUGAUCCAGCCAUGCCGCGUGCAGGAUGAAGGCCUUCGGGUUGUAAACUGCUUUUGUACGGAACGAAACGGCCUUUUCUAAUAAAGAGGGCUAAUGACGGUACCGUAAGAAUAAGCACCGGCUAACUACGUGCCAGCAGCCGCGGUAAUACGUAGGGUGCAAGCGUUAAUCGGAAUUACUGGGCGUAAAGCGUGCGCAGGCGGUUAUGUAAGACAGUUGUGAAAUCCCCGGGCUCAACCUGGGAACUGCAUCUGUGACUGCAUAGCUAGAGUACGGUAGAGGGGGAUGGAAUUCCGCGUGUAGCAGUGAAAUGCGUAGAUAUGCGGAGGAACACCGAUGGCGAAGGCAAUCCCCUGGACCUGUACUGACGCUCAUGCACGAAAGCGUGGGGAGCAAACAGG